GACGAACGCUGGCGGCGUGCUUAACACAUGCAAGUCGAACGGAAAGGCCCUGCUUUUGCUGGGUGCACGAGUGGCGAACGGGUGAGUAACACGUGAGUAACAUGCCCUUGUCUUUGGGAUAACUUCAGGAAACUGGGGCUAAUAUCCGAGAGGAGCUCCUGCUGCACGGUGGGGGUUGGAAAGAGUCGGCGGUUGUGGAUGGACUCGCGGCUUAUCAGCUUGUUGGUGGGGUAGUGGCUUACGAAGGCUUUGACGGGUAGCCGGCCUGAGAGGGUGACCGGCCUCAUUGGGACUGAGAUACGGCCCAGACUCGUACGGGCGGCAGUAGUGGGGAAUAUUGCACAACGGGCGGAAGUCUGAUGUAGCAACGCCGCGUGCGGGAUGACGGCCUUCGGGUUGUAAACCGCUUUCGCCUGUAACGAAGCGUGAGUGACGGUAAUUAGUAAAGAAGCACCGGCUAACUACGUG
rnacentral:rRNA from 1 species